rnacentral:sRNA from 1 species
GGAUUAGUACAUAUAUCAAGACUUGUGUAUAACAGAGUUCAUGUAUAAUAUUUUUUAUCCCGAUUGAUAAUAAUAGAGUCAAAGUUUGUCAUUAUACACUAUUGAAAUAAUAAAAUAGAUUUUGCAUGUUUUGUUGCUCAUAUGGAACGAGGCUCUGGGUUGAUCAUUAUUUUAGUAAUUCAGGUGUGAAACCAUGAUCUUCCUGUUUUGAUAAUGCCACAAAAUAUACUUCCCACUGAGAUAGUGUUUAGUAGAAAUUGUCUUCUCAGUUUUACUCAUUUUUUUAAAGCCCUUAUCUGUCAUUUUGUUUAAUAACGAAAAUCUAAGAUGUUUAAUACUGAUUUAUUUAUUUCUGCCUUGCAGGAGAGGUUAUGGAUCAGAGCAACAGCAACUGCUGAGGCCCUCUCUUCUUAAACCAGAGGAAUUAUCCAUGGAGUCUGGAAUUGAUCCUGGCCAGGAAUAUGGACAAGAUUAUUACAGUUAUGAGCAUGGGUAUGAAAUGCCUCAAUAUGGGAGUCGCCGUCGAUUGUUACCACCAGCUGGACAGGAGGAAUAUGGUGAGGUGGUUGGUGAAGCUGAGGAAGAAUAUGAGGAGGAAGAGUGGGCAAGAAAAAGAAUGAUCAAGUUAGUUGUUGAUCAAGAGUAUGAAACCAGCUCAACUGGAGAAGACAGUGCUCCUGAAUGUCAGAGAAACCGUCUUCACCAUCCUAGUAUCCACAGUAAUAUCAACGGCAAUAUAUAUAUUG